GACGAACGCUGGCGGCGUGCCUAAUACAUGCAAGUCGAACGAACGGACGAGAAGCUUGCUGCUCUGAUGUUAGCGGCGGACGGGUGAGUCACACGUGUAUAACCUACCUAUAAGACUGGGAUAACUUCGGGAAACCGGAUCUAAUACCGGAUGAUAUUUUGAACCGCAUGGUUCAAAGGUGAAAUUCGGUCUUUCGGUCACUUAUAGCUGCAUCCGCGCUGCAUUAUCUAGUUGGUAAUGUAACUGCUUACCAAGGCAACGAUGGAUAGCCGACCUGAGAGGGGGAUACGGCACAGAGGAGCUGAGACGCGGGCCAGACGCCUACGGGAGGCAGCAGUAGGGAAUGUUCGGCAAUGGGCGGAAGCUUGACGGAGGAACGCCGCGUGAGUGAUGAAGGUCUUCGGCUCGUAAAACUGUGUUAUUAGGGAAGAACAUAUGUGUAAGUAACUGUGCACAUCUUGACGGUACCUAAUGAGAAAGACCCGGCUAACUCCGU
rnacentral:rRNA from 1 species